UACGUAGGGUGCAAGCGUUGUCCGGAAUUAUUGGGCGUAAAGAGCGUGUAGGCGGCCAUGCAGGUCAGCUGUGAAAACUCGAGGCUCAACCUCGAGACGUCGGUUGAAACCGUAUGGCUAGAGUCCGGAAGAGGAGAGUGGAAUUCCCGGUGUAGCGGUGAAAUGCGCAGAUAUCGGGAGGAACACCGGUGGCGAAGGCGGUUCUCUGGGCCUGUACUGACGCUGAGGAGCGAAAGCGUGGGGAGCGAACAGG
rnacentral:rRNA from 1 species